GCUACACUGUAUGGUGUGAUUGUUAGAAUAGUAAGCUAGAUUUAGUAUAAGAAAACUAACAAAUACAAUAAUCUAUUUUAUGAAAGAUGAAAACCAACUCAUAGUAUAUCGCUAAACCAAAUUCAAAUUGAAUCGGAAGCGUGUGAAGUACUGUUUUAAGAUAUAUUUCUACCUUUCAUGCUGGAAAUCCCGAAAAUAUCAC
rnacentral:lncRNA from 1 species